rnacentral:rRNA from 1 species
AUACGUAGGGGGCGAGCGUUGUCCGGAAUGAUUGGGCGUAAAGGGCGCGUAGGCGGCGCGGUAAGUCUGGAGUGAAAGUCCUGCUUUCAAGAUGGGAAUUGCUUUGGAUACUGAUGGGCUUGAGUGCAGGAGAGGUUAUCGGAAUUCCCGGUGUAGCGGUGAAAUGCGUAGAGAUCGGGAGGAACACCAGUGGCGAAGGCGGGUAACUGGACUGCAACUGACGCUGAGGCGCGAAAGUGUGGGGAGCAAACAGGAUUAGAUACCCUGGUAGUCCACACUGUAAACGAUGAAUGCUAGGUGUAAGAGGUAUCGACCCCUUUUGUGCCGGAGUUAACACAAUAAGCAUUCCGCCUGGGGAGUACGGCCGCAAGGUUGAAACUCAAAUGAAUUGACGGGG